rnacentral:lncRNA from 1 species
ACGAAAAUAGUGAGUUUUCGGUAAGUGCUCUAUAUAUGAAGCAUAUAAUCUUUUAAUUUGUUUUAAAAUUUAUAACCAUACCCUCUACGAAAAUAGUGAGUUUUCGGUAAAUGCUCUAUAUAUGAGGCCUAUAAUCUUUAAAUUUGUUUUAAAAUUUAUAACCACAUUACACAUUUAUAUUAAUUUAUGAUAAAUUCCUUUUCAUGGUACAUGGAUAUCGUUCUAAUUUUUUAUCAAGUACUUUAGCAAAACUACAAAUUCUCCCUAAAUCAUUAGACUAACCACUAUAAAAUUGCUAUUCCUUAGAGAAACAGAGACAACAAAGGUUCCAAACCUCUUUGAACUUCAUCAUAUUUUAUUACAUGAUUCAAAUAUGUAUUAAAACAGUAUUCUCAAAUUUUUUGAAUUUUUCUCAAAAUCUAUGUGUACCCCCCUACGAAAAUAGU